AAAAGGUUAAGAGAAAUAAUGUGAUAGAAGUGACCUCGAUCUUUAGAGUAUACGCUGAAAGCGUGCAUUAUUCUCACAGGAGGGAGUCAUUGUGUGUGUGUCUGUGUGUGUGUGUCUGUUUGUGUGUGUGUGUGUGUGUGUGUGUGUGUGUGUGUGUGUGUGUGUGUGUGUGUGUGUGUGUGUGUGUGUGUGUGUGUGUGUGUGUGUGUGUGUGUGUGUGUGUGUGUGUGUGUGUGUGUGUGUGUUAGCAAGAGGAGGGUGGGGACUGCUUGCCAAACACACCUGUGGCUCCACAGCUCUCCCUGCGCCUCCUCAUCACACUCCUACAGAGUUCAUUAUCACAGCUCAGACUCAGCUGAGGGAGGAAAUACUUCUAUCAUCCAACAAUCACACACACGAGGAAAAUGCACUGCUACUCCAACAGACAAGGCCUGGAGAACACGCUCUGAGAUGAAAGGAGAGACAAACGUGCAGUCGCUUAUUUGUACACACGUGGACGAGAAGAAGCUGGUGGAAAAAGCAGCGUCACUUGAAGGAAGUGAUGUUCAACACAUGACUGACGGUGUACCAACCAACCUGGCUGCCUGCAUGUCUCAUUUCAUGUCACUGUGGCUGAAACCUGAUCCCUACUGCAGAGGAUCCCUGUUUAUUAAUGCAUGAAAACAGAUGUAAGGUGAGGAAGUGUCCAUUUCCAUCCAAAUCUAAUCUCAGAGCUAACCAUAGCGAGGGGCAGUAAUACAUAUUUUAGACGGUGAAGAAAGUCUUAAUAUAUCAGCAUAUUGAGAAAAACUUCCUGAAUAUCUUACAGAGGGCCCGUGGAAACUGUUCAGGCAUGUCCGUCAUUGGCACUAAUUUCUUGUUUAAUCACAGUUGUGUAAUUAGAGUAGGAAGAGAUCAGAGAGGUAGCGGAGUAUUCUGCUGUUUUCACAAGAUGACAGGAAAAAGCUGAUGACACUGGCUCCAAAACCAAUUGCGCAGAUGACUGAGAGCGUUUUUCUUUGGGUAAGGUCAGAGGAACAUUAGUCAGCUUUAUGUAAAAAGGAAAUUAAAACGGGAAAGGAGAGGAGGCAAGGGCGAGCCGGUACAGAGAUCUAAAAGCAACUAUAAAGAUGAAUUAUUAAAUCAAAGCUGAGAAUUGGAAAAAGAACUGAUUUUUGAAGCCCAUUUUGAUUUUAUCAGGCAGGGUGUUGCUGUUAUAAAGGCAUCAAGUUCUACAAUCAUUUCGAAUAUGGGUGUCAUUCAUUUCCUAAGGCACACAUGCUUAUGUAAUAUGGACACUAUUUUCCUAGAUGUCCAAAUCGGAAAAUAUUCAUCUGUAAAAGUCAGAAUGUGCGUAGAUCAUUCUUAAUUUAGUAUACCACUGCAAGGUUAACAGUCUCUUUCUGAGACUUGAGCUGUUUAAAAUGAGGAGAAAAUGAUCAGAGCCAAUACACAGACACACACACACACACACCCACCCACACACACUCAUGUCAAGGGCAGUAGCCUAUAGAGUAUACGUGAUCCCCUGGCUUCUUUCCCCAACCUCAUCCACUCCUCUCAUUCUUCUAUCCCAGCUCUCAAGGGACUCUAGGUCUCAGUGCAGCAGAUCUCUCAUCCCCAUAAAGUCAACCUCAAACAGAGAGACGGGGGCAGAGGUGUGUACUCAGGGUUUGCCGAUCUAAUCCCGACAGGAAAGUAAAUCACAGAGUUCUGUUUGUCUCAAACUAAACAAUGUUUGACUUUCAAAUUCUAAUGUUCCUCCAUUUGCCAUACUUGCCAGACUAUGCACACAACGCCAGAUUCACUGUAACAGAGGGAUUUAGGAAUUAAGCCGGGGAUUUUAGAACAAAUAUAAUACCACCCCAGCAGAAGCUUAUAAAGACCUUACAUUGAAUAAAACUUGACUGGUAAAAAAUUCUAAAUGGGUAAAACAUAUAGAAACUUCACUAAAUGAACCUCGAGUAAGGAUACAAUUAUGUAGUUCUUUUAACUGCUAAUACAUUUCAUAAAACUCUACUUUAGCCUGAUGUAGUGUAUGACUUUUCUUUUACAGGACUACAGAGACAAUUGCGAGCAGCAAGUAACAAGACGGAAAAGAUGUACAACGUCAGAUGUGAGGCUAAUCUGUCACACAAGGCGCUUGCCAUUGUUUAACAAACACUCUUCAUCUCCCUGUCACUCAGUCCUCCGAGUCCCUGCCUCCACAUUAAUAUUACAGCUAAGCCAGCAGAAGAAGCAGAGGAACUCAUUUCCAACUUUCAAACAACCGCUAAACUACAUGCCAGCUCAAACAAAGGCAACAGCAGACACUAAGGAGAAAAGGAUAACCAUACCAUAAAACUUCAUUCAAGUUCUCCAUGCCCCUCCCUGCCUCUCCACAAAGCCUAUAAAGGGGUCGUGGGUUUUGGUGAGGAGCCUGGAACAAGCCUGAGGGGGGGUCAGACUCAGAGACCGCUCCGAUGACUUCAUACCAGAGCUGGAUGCCAGAGCGUGGGGAGACGAGUGGGAGGGAGGGAGGGAUGAAAGCAGAGAGGUGGAU